GACGGGGGGUGCCAGCGUUAUCAGGAAUCACUGGGCGUAAAGCGUCUGUAGGUGGUGAUGCAAGUCACUGGUGCAAAACUCUGGCUCAACCGGAGGAAAGCCAGUGAAACUGCAUGACUAGAGUGUGGGAGAGGUAGAAGGAAUUCCCUGAGUAGCGGUGAAAUGCGUAGAUACAGGGAAGAACACCGGAGGCGAAAGCGUUCUACUGGAACACAACUGACACUGAGAGACGAAAGCUAGGGGAGCGAAUGGG
rnacentral:rRNA from 1 species